UACGACCACAUCACGUUGUAACAUCGGUUCCCGUACAAUCACUGAAGUUAAGUAACCUUGAUCCUGGUCAGUACCUAGAUGGGUAACUGCUUGGGAAUACCAGGUGCUGUAA